rnacentral:rRNA from 1 species
ACUCCUGCGGGAGGCAGCAGUGGGGAAUUUUGGACAAUGGGCGAAAGCCUGAUCCAGCCAUGCCGCGUGCAGGAUGAAGGCCUUCGGGUUGUAAACUGCUUUUGUACGGAACGAAACGGCCUUUUCUAAUAAAGAGGGCUAAUGACGGUACCGUAAGAAUAAGCACCGGCUAACUACGUGCCAGCAGCCGCGGUAAUACGUAGGGUGCAAGCGUUAAUCGGAAUUACUGGGCGUAAAGCGUGCGCAGGCGGUUAUGUAAGACAGUUGUGAAAUCCCCGGGCUCAACCUGGGAACUGCAUCUGUGACUGCAUAGCUAGAGUACGGUAGAGGGGGAUGGAAUUCCGCGUGUAGCAGUGAAAUGCGUAGAUAUGCGGAGGAACACCGAUGGCGAAGGCAAUCCCCUGGACCUGUACUGACGCUCAUGCACGAAAGCGUGGGGAGCAAACAGGAUUAGAUACCCUGGUAGUCCCAUG